GAAAUUUUAAGUUUAAAGACUUAAAUUUUAAAGAUUUAGGUUGAUUUACAUAGUUAGCUAGUUAAAAUUUGA
rnacentral:tRNA from 1 species